rnacentral:lncRNA from 10 species
AGGGUCCAGCCCUAGGCAGGCUCUUUCUCCACAGAGACAGAGCCGGUUUGGGCCCCUCCUCUCUUCUCUUGGUGACAGUUUUGCCCAUGGGCAUCCUGCGGGCAAAGGGGAGGCUGAGUUUCUGGUUUGUGGGUGUGUUUCAGGAAGUGCAGCUUGAUGGGGUCAGUCUUUGUGUGCAGGGAGAGGAGCUGGGUGGAGGCUGGCUGGAUGACUGGGCCUAGGCCUCCGGACAACGGAAAGGAGCAGAGAAGACGAGGGAUGCGUCCCGGCACUGGUAUUGUGGAGAGAGACCCCAACCCCCAGGAGGGUGAGGAAGGGGCUGUUGGUUCCCCCGCUGUACAUUAGUGGCCGGGUGCAGUGGCUGACGCCUGUAAUCUCAGCACUUUGGGAGACCGAGGUGGGCAGAUCAUUCGAGGUCAGGAGUUCGAGACCAGCCUGGCCAACACGGUGAAACCCUGUCUCUACUAAAAAUACAAAAAUUAGCCCAGCGUGGUAGCUUGCAUCUGUAAUCCCA